AUACCUUUCUCGGCCUUUUGGCUAAGAUCAAGUGUAGUAUCUGUUCUUAUCAGUUUAAUAUCUGAUAUACGGACCAUGUGUCUAUUUUGAUAUUAAAUUUAUUUUUUGUGGGGAGAGACUAUAAUAGUGGCUUGCCACUAAGUUCCUCAAGCGUUGCUCAGCUGUUGCACUAUUGGCAGAGCUUGGUGCACCCCAA
rnacentral:snRNA from 2 species